rnacentral:rRNA from 1 species
CCUACGGGAGGCAGCAGUAAGGAAUAUUGGUCAAUGGACGAAAGUCUGAACCAGCCAUGCCGCGUGAAGGAUUAAGGCCCUCUGGGUUGUAAACUUCUUUUAUCUGGGACGAAAAAAGGGUAGUCUUACUCACUUGACGGUACCAGAGGAAUAAGCACCGGCUAACUCCGUGCCAGCAGCCGCGGUAAUACGGAGGGUGCAAGCGUUAUCCGGAUUUACUGGGUUUAAAGGGUGCGUAGGUGGGCUUGUAAGUCAGUGGUGAAAUCUCCGGGCUUAACCCGGAAACUGCCAUUGAUACUAUAGGUCUUGAAUUAUCUGGAGGUAAGCGGAAUAUGUCAUGUAGCGGUGAAAUGCUUAGAUAUGACAUAGAACACCAAUUGCGAAGGCAGCUUACUACGGAUACAUUGACACUGAGGCACGAAAGCGUGGGGAUCAAACAGGAUUAGAUACCCUGUAGUCCACGCCCUAAACGAUGGAUACUCGACAUCAGCGAUACACUGUUGGUGUCUGAGNGAGANAUAGUAUCCACCGNGGAGAGAGCGCGAAGUAGUAGUUAACUUACUAAGUUAGUUAAGUAGACGGCGNGAGAGNGCGACGGACGACGACGAGGGAGGAGG